GGGGGGACCAUCCUCCAAGGCUAAAUACUCCUGAUUGACCGAUAGUGAACCAGUACUGUGAAGGAAAGGCGAAAAGAACCCCGGUGAGGGGAGUGAAAUAGAACCUGAAACCUUGUACGUACAAGCAGUGGGAGCCCGCAAGGGUGACUGCGUACCUUUUGUAUAAUGGGUCAGCGACUUAUAUUUUGUAGCGAGGUUAACCGAAUAGGGGAGCCGAAGGGAAACCGAGUCUUAACUGGGCGUCUAGUUGCAAGGUAUAGACCCGAAACCCGGUGAUCUAGCCAUGGGCAGGUUGAAGGUUGGGUAACACUAACUGGAGGACCGAACCGACUAAUGUUGAAAAAUUAGCGGAUGACUUGUGGCUGGGGGUGAAAGGCCAAUCAAACCGGGAGAUAGCUGGUUCUCCCCGAAAUCUAUUUAGGUAGAGCCUUGAGCGGACACCUUCGGGGGUAGAGCACUGUUUCGGCUAGGGGUCCAUCCCGGAUUACCAACCCGAUGCAAACUACGAAUACCGAAGAGUGAUACUCAGGAGACACACGGCGGGUGCUAACGUCCGUCGUGGAGAGGGAAACAACCCAGACCGCCAGCUAAGGUCCCAAAGUCUAUAUUAAGUGGGAAACGAAGUGGGAAGGCUUAGACAGCUAGGAUGUUGGCUUAGAAGCAGCCAUCAUUUAAAGAAAGCGUAAUAGCUCACUAGUCGAGUCGGCCUGCGCGGAAGAUGUAACGGGGCUCAAAUAUAGCACCGAAGCUGCGGCAUCAGACGUAAGUCUGUUGGGUAGGGGAGCGUUGUGUAAGCGGAUGAAGGUGAAUCGAGAGGUUUGCUGGACGUAUCACAAGUGCGAAUGCUGACAUAAGUAACGAUAAAACGGGUGAAAAACCCGUUCGCCGGAAGACCAAGGGUUCCUGUCCAACGUUAAUCGGGGCAGGGUGAGUCGGCCCCUAAGGCGAGGCUGAAAAGCGUAGUCGAUGGGAAACGGGUUAAUAUUCCCGUACUUGGAUAAACUGCGAUGUGGGGACGGAGCAGGUUAGGUUAGCGUGCUGUUGGAUAUGUACGUUUAAGUUGGUAGGUGGGAAGUUUAGGCAAAUCCGGACUUCCUUAACACUGAGAGAUGAUGACGAGGCUCUACGGAGCUGAAGUAACUGAUACCACACUUCCAGGAAAAGCCACUAAGCGAAAGGCUUUACUAAACCGUACUGAAAACCGACACAGGUGGUCAGGUAGAGAAUACUCAGGCGCUUGAGAGAACUCGGGUGAAGGAACUAGGCAAAAUAGCACCGUAACUUCGGGAGAAGGUGCGCCGGCGUAGAUUGUAGUCCCUUGCGGGCGAAGGUUGAACCGGUCGAAGAUACCAGCUGGCUGCAACUGUUUAUUAAAAACACAGCACUCUGCAAACACGAAAGUGGACGUAUAGGGUGUGACGCCUGCCCGGUGCUGGAAGGUUAAUUGAAGAUGUGAGAGCAUCGGAUCGAAGCCCCAGUAAACGGCGGCCGUAACUAUAACGGUCCUAAGGUAGCGAAAUUCCUUGUCGGGUAAGUUCCGACCUGCACGAAUGGCAUAAUGAUGGCCAGGCUGUCUCCACCCGAGACUCAGUGAAAUUGAAAUCGCCGUGAAGAUGCGGUGUACCCGCGGCUAGACGGAAAGACCCCGUGAACCUUUACUAUAGCUUGACACUGAACAUUGAAUUUUGAUGUGUAGGAUAGGUGGGAGACUUUGAAGUAGUCACGCCAGUGAUUAUGGAGUCGUCCUUGAAAUACCACCCUUUAACGUUUGAUGUUCUAACGAAGAUUACGAAACGUGGUCUCGGACAGUGUCUGGUGGGUAGUUUGACUGGGGCGGUCUCCUCCCAAAGAGUAACGGAGGAGCACGAAGGUUUGCUAAUCACGGUCGGACAUCGUGAGGUUAGUGCAAUGGUAUAAGCAAGCUUAACUGCGAGACAGACAAGUCGAGCAGGUACGAAAGUAGGUCAUAGUGAUCCGGUGGUUCUGAAUGGAAGGGCCAUCGCUCAACGGAUAAAAGGUACUCCGGGGAUAACAGGCUGA
rnacentral:rRNA from 1 species